CCAGGGGAUGCUGCCUGCUUUACCAAUGAAGAAUCCGAGGCUCAGGAAGGUCACCAGGAAGUCACGGACAGGACUGGGAUUCAGAGCCAGGGCUGCCUUGCUUCAGCUCCUCCUCCUGGUUAGAAAACAGUCCUGAAUUGCCUUUUUGCAGAUGGUGUCUUAGAGCUGAGCAUGGCUAACUGUCAGGCACUGUAAGAAGAACUGGGGGAGUCUGGACAUGUGCUGGCCACCAGUCCCCCACACUCAGGGCUCACUGUCUCUUGAGGGUGACAGAGGAUAACGCACUGUGACAAGCACCAUCACAGCAAAGAAACAGAAAAAGUCCGGAGCGGCAAGAGGAUGGGGUGAUUAAUUUUGCCUUGAGGGUAGAAGGAGGGGCCUUGAGGACAGUGGGUGCUCUUAAUGGACUAUUCCAACAACCAGCCACUUAUGGAUGAGGACACAGAGGCAGCUCCCAGAGCAGAGAUGCACAGAAGCAGUAGCAGUGGCUUGGCCCGAAGACUAAAGGAGUUGCAGGGCCAGUCUUGAAGCUGGGACUACACCUCUCGGGCAGAGGAGUGUGGGGACAGAAUGCGUAGGCUACAAGGCUCCCUCUGGGGCAGAGUCGGGGGUGGCUGGGCAGUAGGAAGCCAAGGCAGGUUGUUGCAACAGUCAAGAAGAAAGGUGAUGAGGCCAGAGGUGGUGGCCAGAGAGAUGAGGAAAUUCCUCCUCACCAGGAUGGCUGCAGGGUGAUACAGUCCUGGCCACUCACAGACAGCAUGGAUGCAGGAAGACAGACCACAGACCCACAACAACGAAGGUGCGUGCCGGUGUGGGCAGGACUCAGCCUUCCAGCACUUCAAGACGGGCCCAUGACAAGCAUUCUGUCCUUCUGACAAACCUUCCCCAUAAGGAAAAGGCAGAAGGACCAACUGACCUUCACAGAUGCUGCCACUUACCAGGCACUGUGCAGGGUGCUUUAGAGGUGCUAGUUCACUUAAUCCUCCCCUUUCAGAGCUGAGGAAACUAAGGCUCAGAGAGAGAAAUUAAAGUGUCCCAGGUCAGCCAAUUCAGGAAGUGGGUGCAUCCAGGGAGGCUGGUUUCACUUCCCCUGGCCUGGUGCCCUGAGUGCCCCACCCCUUGGCAUCUGAGCAGUGUGGCUCCCAUGCCAACUCUACAGGAAUGUCAUGUCUGGGGGCAAGUGGCCCCUUGCAGGGGCAUCUGCUGUGCAGGUCCAGGAAGGUAAAUAAAGUUCACUGAAUACAAGAUCCCCCCAUCCCAGCAGGAGUCCAGCUUGGCCUCUCCCAUACUGUCCAGGCAGAUGUUGGAGGGAAGAAAAGAGGCCUGGCCUCCUGUUGGUUUCUGCCUCCUCACCUCUG
rnacentral:lncRNA from 1 species